UGACAAUGUAAUGUUUUAAAUGGCGACAGAAGAACAUAAAUAUUUAGCAGAUAUUAUAAAAAAUACACAUGCCACGUUGCGACAAGAAGCUCAGGAUUACGGUCCUGAGAUUGCAUGGAAACGACACAUAUGUCGUAAAGACAUUCUGCAGAAAUAUGCUUCUUGUAUGGUAAAAUUGGCAACUAUCCACUGGAUGGAAAAUAACUUAAACACCAAGAGUUCAACGUAUUCGAGAAUAGAAUGGAUCAAAUAUCAAUGUGAAGAAUAUUUUUUAAACGAAGGAAGACAGAAAUAUGAUUUGAGAGAAGAAGAUAUUAAACUGAAAAUAGACACAAAUUUGUCAAAAACUGAAGUUGCCAUAAAUUGUACUGUAAAUAUUAAAUGUCAGGAAAAUCAAAUAUUGGAAAACUUCGAUAACGAUCUUCAGAAGUCAGUUCAAAAGAUAUUAUUAUUGGAUGUAGGCAGUUGUUAUAAUCCAUUUGAAGCUCUAGAUAUAUUUGAAGUAACUGCAAUAGAUCUAAGUGGUAUACCAGAUAAAGUUUUUUGUUGUGACUUUUUAAAUGUUCAAAUCGGACAAGACACAUUAUAUUCAAACGAUAAAGAAGAAAUUUUGCAAUUGCCUGAAAACUAUUUUCAGGUAGUUGUAUUUUCUUUAUUUUUGGAAUAUUUACCCUGCCCAAAACAAAGAUAUUUAUGUUGUAAAAAAGCCUAUGAUUUAUUGCAACCAGGUGGUAUACUUUUUAUCAUAAGCCCUGAUUCAAAACAUGUUAAUGCAAAUGCCAAGAUCAUAAAAUCAUGGAGAUACGUCCUGAGUAAAUUAGGAUUUAUGAGAAUAAAAUACGAAAAAUUGCAACAUAUACAUUGCAUAAUAUUCAGAAAAUGUGUGUUUAAACAUGUUGCAUCAAGGUGGGCGAAUUUACAAGUACUGCCGCAGGAUGAUCCUUUAUUUUUAGAUGAUACUUCAAUUUAUAUUCCGCAAGAUUUCCGAGAUGUAUCUAACAAAAUUAAAGAACGAGAUAAACAAGAGUACGAUACGAAUGAAGUAAUGACUAUGUUCAAUGAAUUACCUUUUGAGCAAAUGUAACACAAGCAAGAUUAACGAUUGUGUCAUGUUAAUUCUAGCGACGGAAAUAUUUUAUGAUCGUUCAAAAUGUCGUCCCAUUUAAAUUGGAUGAUUAUUCGCAAUAAUAAUGCAUUCCUUUUGAAGAAACGUAACAUUAAUAAACCAUUUUCUACGG